AUGUGUCUUCUUCUCAAACACAUUUCCAAGCUACACGACGAGCAAACCUCGGGAGAGACUAGGUACUUGAUCACCAAAUACGGAUGGUCGACCGCUAACGAUGUAGGCAUGUCAGACAACCAGCAUACCCCGAUUUGGAAAGACAUUAUGAACGGCCUCGCCCUCUUCCGGGACACCACCCGGGUCAGCAUCGGUAAUGGAACCACUACCUCCUUUUGGCUUGACCUUUGGCUCCCUCGCUCAGCUCAAACCCUAGCCCGACAAUUUCCGGCUCUGUUUUCACACUCCAAUCGAGUCCACACAUCAGUGGCACGCGCUUUGACAUCGAACAACCUCACCUUGGAUCUAACACCUAGGCUGUCUCACGCAGCCGAAUGCGAACUGCUUGAACUACGCACUAUAUUGGGCACGGUGAACUUAAAUAUGCAGGUUGCUGACAGGAGAACUACAAGGGACGCUGAGAAACCUUUCACCGCUAAGCUUGCCUACCAAGCGGUUUGGAGGACAAAGCCCAUGGACACGCUCGCCCCGGCCAUCUGGCGGAACUACGCCCCAAAUAAAUGUCGACUCUACCUCUGGCUUGCCCGCAAGGACCGCCUCUUCACGAAUGAACGACGGUUCAGACGGGGCAUUGCUACUUCAGCCGCAUGCCCCUUCUGCGACCACUGUGAAUCCAUCAACCACCUCCUUUUCGAAUGUCCGCACCGAGCUCCACUUUGGGGGGAGCUAGACAGCCUAUGUCCGGGUGCGCCACAGGGGCUGCUCCAAGCUUGGGAGGGCGAAUGGCACAACAAAACUAGAUCAACAGUUCUACUGGCCGUUCUUUGGAAUAUCUGGAAGCGACGGAACGCCAAGGUCUUUCGGGACAUACAUCUUGGGCUUCAUGAUGUGGCAAGCUCCGCUGCGGAAGAUCUUAAACUUUGGUCCCACCGCUGUAAUAAUAUUCAAAAACAAAUUCAACUCAGGGACUGGGGCUCCAUGUUGUUCCACCUUGCCGGGAGAAUUUAG
rnacentral:rRNA from 1 species